AGCUUCACACAAACAAGAGCAAGAGAAAGCUCGAUCGAUGGGGUUGCAGUGGACGAUCAUGGCGGUGGCGGUGGCCGUCGAGGCGGCGUUGCUGCUGCUGCUAACCUUGCCUUCUCCGAAGAUCCUCAAGGAGCGCCUCAAUGCCGUCGUCUCCCUCCUGCUCCACCCCACCUUUGGCGUUGUCCCCUUUUCUGUUUUCCAGCUAAUCGAUUUGUACGGGAAGAGGGAGCAUUGGCUGAUGUGCACGUCAGAGGUUUGCAACUCCAGCGAGAGGGAUCGCUAUGAGAAAUCGAUCUACAAGGCUCAAAGGAAUCUUAUUUUGUGCUUCUCGGCAUGCCUUCUUUAUUGGUGCUUAUAUUGUAUUUGUAAAUUUCAUAAGGCUAUAAAAGAAAUGGAAGAGAUUGAGAAGCAUCAGAGAAAUCUUUAACUAUUAUGAUCUGUUUGCCAUAAUUGGAAUUGUGUAAAGCUGUAAAGCUGGCUAUUUUACCCAGUAAGAGUAGGACCGCUUCCAGUUCCAGAUUGUGAACAUCUAAUUCCAUGGUCUGAACAUGAAACACUUAUCUUCUUCAAGCUGUGGCUUCUGAGGCACCUAUUCCUCAAUGAUGCUAUAAUCUGAAAGGCACUCAAGCUGGACGCGAACUGUGAAUUACUCAUUUCCGUGACCUGAUCUUCUCUUGCAAACAGAAAUAUAAAAACCUGUCGACAGCGAGAGCGAACAGAAAUCAACAACGGUAUUGAAUCCGUCUUUGCGAUUUCUCUAUCUAGAUCACAAAAUGUUUAAAUGUGAACUAUCUGAAAGCUCAUAUGUAUGUAUAUGCACAUUUGUACCAUGUUAAAUGUGGGUUUUUUUUUUCCUGUGGACCAAAUAACAACUUUAU